rnacentral:lncRNA from 1 species
AUUCCCUCCUGCUGAGUUGUGCCGCUAUUUAAUUGGGGAAUGUUAUCGCCAAGUGGAUUUGAUGUCUCUCCUACCGCUCCUUGAGUAUUCUUCGCUCGUCGUGGAGGCAUAUUGACCUAUGAUAGAUUUGAGAUAAUAACUUAUCCUUAAUAAGGUUAUAACUUACUUGUGACAGGUCAAAUCAUAAUCAUCAUAACUAACCUUUCAAUUUCCUAAUAUCUACCCAUCACUCACUCACUCUAUUCUACAUGUGUCUAUCUAUCU